rnacentral:rRNA from 1 species
UACAGAGGUGGCAAGCGUUGUCCGGAUUUAUUGGGCGUAAAGAGCGUGUAGGCGGCUAUACAGGUCCGCUGUGAAAACUCGAGGCUCAACCUCGAGACGUCGGUGGAAACCGUAUGGCUAGAGUCCGGAAGAGGAGAGUGGAAUUCCUGGUGUAGCGGUGAAAUGCGCAGAUAUCAGGAAGAACACCCGUGGCGAAGGCGGCUCUCUGGGACGGUACUGACGCUGAGACGCGAAAGCGUGGGGAGCGAACAUG